GCCCAAUGAUGAUACCUAGGCAAACAAGAGCUGAUUGGCUGAGGUGCUGUGUUCUCUUGCCAUCUGACUGGUGGGUAAUCUUGGCAGGGUGGUGGAGUUUUGCUACUCUGCUGUAAGGGCCCACCCAUAUUCAACCCAGCUGGCCAAUCACAAUUCUUCCUCUGGUCUCUAAAGAUAUGGGAACCAGAGGAGUGUUACUGGCUUACAGUGUGUGUGUGUGCGUGUGUGUCUGUGUGUGAGCGUGAGUGUAAGUCAGUCGGUAAAGAUUCACAGCUCUUUUUAAAGGUCGUUCAGCUGUGACAUUUUUCUUUGGUAAUCUGAGGGCA